UUAAUUUCUCUCCAUCUCCGUCUCCGUCUCCGACUCGCUUACUCCAAGGGGAGGUGGGAAAUUGGGCACUAGAGGGGUGAAUGGAGCCGCGACUCUAGCUUGCUCUCCUAGCGAGGGCGCUUGCUCGGUUCGGCUUCAGCAGUGCGCAGAUUAUGGCCAUGAUUAUUACUACAAGCAUAGCAUGCAUCAUUUCUCAUUAGAUGAGAUUAACUGAAGACAGUUAAUGCUAUGAGCCAUGCACCAUUUAACGGCAAGCUGAUGGGAUUGGAUUUUGGCAUGGAUCUAGAGUUAGUUGGAGUUGUUCAAGAAGGAGAGCAACGAAACUAGGUUGAAGUUUGAGUCUGACGUUCAACAGAAACUAAACCAGCAAGAUUUGAAGAUUGGCGACCUGGAAAGUGAUGUUGAACUUCUCAAAGGAAAGGUUAACGAGGAAAUUGAGCUUUAUAGGAAGAAUCAGGAAACAAGCUUAGAAAAGAUAACGGGUUCUAUUGAUGACCUACAGUUCAGCUUUGCCAAGGGCGCUGUUGCAAUUGUUGGUCUUAUUCCGCUGUUUGCUCACUCGUGGUCAAUGUCAAUAGGCUCUUCCGUGGUGAAUCUGUUAUGCUUCAAACUAUCAUCUUAUCUUUGGGAAAUGUUGACAUAGCUACAUGAAUCGUAGCUUCAUACGUUCCUCAUUGUUAAUUUCAGUCAAGAUGGUCCUGCAAAUGGAGCUAAUGUGAAGGAUAGAAAACGAAAGACUGUAAAGAAAAAUGGACAUCCCUCGUGACCCCACUCUUCCCAUUCUGCAAACUCUUCAAUUGAGAUCCUCCAAACAUCUCCUCUUAUAUACUUGUGAAAUACAGAGUAUGUGCCCGUCAGAAUUUUGCAAAAUUUGUUGGUAACUGAUAUGUCAUCAGAGGAUAAUGAAUUACAAGUUGUGGACCAAUUGGUUUUCAUGGUUUUA